rnacentral:rRNA from 1 species
UUAGUGGAAGCGUCUGGAAAGGCGCGCGAUACAGGGUGACAGCCCCGUACACAAAAGCGCAUGUGCUGUGAGCUCGAUGAGUAGGGCGGGACACGUGGUAUCCUGUCUGAAUAUGGGGGGACCAUCCUCCAAGGCUAAAUACUCCUGACUGACCGAUAGUGAACCAGUACCGUGAGGGAAAGGCGAAAAGAACCCCGGCGAGGGGAGUGAAAAAGAACCUGAAACCGUGUACGUACAAGCAGUGGGAGCACCCUUUGGGGUGUGACUGCGUACCUUUUGUAUAAUGGGUCAGCGACUUAUAUUCUGUAGCAAGGUUAACCGUAUAGGGGAGCCGUAGGGAAACCGAGUCUUAACCGGGCGUUAAGUUGCAGGGUAUAGACCCGAAACCCGGUGAUCUAGCCAUGGGCAGGUUGAAGGUUGGGUAACACUAACUGGAGGACCGAACCGACUAAUGUUGAAAAAUUAGCGGAUGACCUGUGGCUGGGGGUGAAAGGCCAAUCAAACCGGGAGAUAGCUGGUUCUCCCCGAAAGCUAUUUAGGUAGCGCCUCGUGAAUUCAUCUCCGGGGGUAGAGCACUGUUUCGGCUAGGGGGCCAUCCCGGCUU